AUGUCUAGUCGGAUUUUGCGUAUGUGUUUUGAUUUUGUGCGAGCUAUUUCUAUUACAGUUGUUGUUGAUGAAAUUGCAGGUUGGUGGAUUUUGGGAUUUAGGUUCCGGUUGUCAUCUUUCUCCUCUACCGUGAUUACCUUUGUAUUUCUGCAGAUUUCUCCUCCGUACUAUAACGAUUUUUCUUCUCUGUUAGUAGUAUCCGCCCCUUUUCUCUUUUAUUCGUUUUAA